UGGGGAAUUUUGGACAAUGGGGGAAACCCUGAUCCAGCCAUCCCGCGUGUGCGAUGAAGGCCUUCGGGUUGUAAAGCACUUUUUGCAGGAAAGAAACGUCAUGGGUUAAUACCCCGUGAAACUGACGGUACCUGCAGAAUAAGCACCGGCUAACUACGUGCCAGCAGCCGCGGUAAUACGUAGGGUGCAAGCGUUAAUCGGAAUUACUGGGCGUAAAGCGUGCGCAGGCGGUUCGGAAAGAAAGAUGUGAAAUCCCAGAGCUCAACUUUGGAACUGCAUUUUUAACUACCGGGCUAGAGUGUGUCAGAGGGAGGUAGAAUUCCGCGUGUAGCAGUGAAAUGCGUAGAUAUGCGGAGGAACACCGAUGGCGAAGGCAGCCUCCUGGGAUAACACUGACGCUCAUGCACGAGAGCGUGGGGAGCAAACAGG
rnacentral:rRNA from 1 species